rnacentral:rRNA from 1 species
UGACACUCGGGACGCAGCAGUGAGGAAUAUUGGUCAAUGGGCGGAAGCCUGAACCAGCCAAGUCGCGUGAGGGAUUAAGGCCCUAUGGGUCGUAAACCUCUUUUGUCAGGGAGCAAUGGCGUCCACGUGUGGGCGUAUGGAGAGUACCUGAAGAAAAAGCAUCGGCUAACUCCGUGCCAGCAGCCGCGGUAAUACGGAGGAUGCGAGCGUUAUCCGGAUUUAUUGGGUUUAAAGGGUGCGCAGGCGGCGAGUUAAGUCAGCGGUAAAAUUUCGGGGCUCAACCCCGACGAGCCGUUGAAACUGGC